UACGGAGGGUGCAAGCGUUAUCCGGAUUCACUGGGUUUAAAGGGUGCGUAGGUGGGUUGGUAAGUCAGUGGUGAAAUCUCCAGGCUUAACUUGGAAACUGCCAUUGAUACUAUCAAUCUUGAAUACCGUGGAGGUCAGCGGAAUAUGUCAUGUAGCGGUGAAAUGCUUAGAUAUGACAUAGAACACCAAUUGCGAAGGCAGCUGGCUACACGAAUAUUGACACUGAUGCACGAAAGCG
rnacentral:rRNA from 1 species